GUUAGAUGUUACUAGUGGCCAUGUUCUAACAGUUCAUUGGAACAUUUCUAGUGGUGGCUCAUGUGGCUAAAUAGGCCAGUGACCUAAGGUUGGCACACAGUCGAGGUCUUGGCCCGAAUGUAUUAGCAUCAGUGUCAGUCAUGAAAAAUCAUCCUAUAUGGCUAGCAAUGUCCCGACCUUGAGGUAGGUAGGUGUUGCCCAGCUAUGCAACCCA
rnacentral:lncRNA from 1 species